CCUUCGGGUAAUGAGGAUGGCGGACGGGUGAGUAACGCGUAAGGAACUUGCCUCUUGGACUGGGACAACUGUUGGAAACGACAGCUAAUACCGGAUAUUAUGAGAUUCUCGCAUGAGAAACUUAUGAAAGCUAUAUGCGCCAAGAGAGAGCCUUGCGUUCCAUUAGCUAGUUGGUGGGGUAACGGCCCACCAAGGCGACGAUGGAUAGCCGGCCUGAGAGGGUGAACGGCCACAAGGGGACUGAGACACGGCCCUUACUCCUACGGGAGGCAGCAGUGGGGAAUAUUGGACAAUGGACCACAAGUCUGAUCCAGCAAUUCUGUGUGCACGAUGAAGGUCUUCGGAUUGUAAAGUGCUUUCAGUUGGGAAGAAGAAAGUGACGGUACCAACAGAAGAAGCGACGGCUAAAUACGUGCCAGCAGCCGCGGUAAUACGUAUGUCGCAAGCGUUAUCCGGAUUUAUUGGGCGUAAAGCGCGUCUAGGCGGAAAAAUAAGUCUGAUGUUAAAAUGCGGGGCUCAACUCCGUAUUGCGUUGGAAACUGUUUUUCUAGAGUACUGGAGAGGUGGGCGGAACUACAAGUGUAGAGGUGAAAUUCGUAGAUAUUUGUAGGAAUGCCGAUGGAGAAGUCAGCUCACUGGACAGAUACUGACGCUGAAGCGCGAAAGCGUG
rnacentral:rRNA from 1 species